GCUACAUGAAACUAUUAUAAAUUGAAGAUUUGGCUGAAAAUUCGAACAUUCAUUUCUUGUAUUCACAAUAUAACACAAUGUUUAGAUAUUUUUGUGUACUUUUCGUGUCCGUAUUGCUUGUAAAUAUGAGCUUACAAAGACCAAGCCCUCAGGAGGAAAAAGAAGUAGAAGAAGAAUGUGAACAGGAAAAAGAUGAAGCUUCGGAAGAAAAUCAAGAUGACGGGGAGGAAAGUGCAGCAGGCGAGGAGGAAAAUAAUGAAGAAACGGAACCAAGUGAAGAUGGAGAACGUCGCAAACGAAGUAUAGAUGAGGAAGUCUUCAAUUACUUUAAUGCUCCAAUAUGAGAAGAUACUUCUUGGUGUUUUAUAUAAUGACAUUAUAAUAUGAACUAAUAUGUUAUUAUGUGAUUUUGUGGAAAUAUAAAAUGUAACUGUAAUAA